AGUAAGGUACCUUUAAGGGUUGCCUUGAUGCGGUAAACAUGUUUAUAACCUUUACUA
rnacentral:tRNA from 1 species